AGUUUUAUAGUUUAAAAAGAACAUUAAAUUGCAAAUUUAAAGGUGAGUUAGCUCUAAGGCUU
rnacentral:tRNA from 2 species